rnacentral:rRNA from 1 species
UGGGGAAUUUUGGACAAUGGGCGAAAGCCUGAUCCAGCAAUGCCGCGUGUGUGAAGAAGGCCUUCGGGUUGUAAAGCACUUUUGUCCGGAAAGAAAUCCUUGGCUCUAAUACAGUCGGGGGAUGACGGUACCGGAAGAAUAAGCACCGGCUAACUACGUGCCAGCAGCCGCGGUAAUACGUAGGGUGCAAGCGUUAAUCGGAAUUACUGGGCGUAAAGCGUGCGCAGGCGGUUUGCUAAGACCGAUGUGAAAUCCCCGGGCUCAACCUGAGAACUGCAUUGGUGACUGGCAGGCUAGAGUAUGGCAGAGGGGGGUAGAAUUCCACGUGUAGCAGUGAAAUGCGUAGAGAUGUGGAGGAAUACCGAUGGCGAAGGCAGCCCCCUGGGCCAAAUACUGACGCUCAUGCACGAAAGCGUGGGGAGCAAACAGGAUUAGAUACCCUGGUAGUCCACGCCCUAAACGAUGUCAACUAGUUGUUGGGGAUUCAUUUCCUUAGUAACGUAGCUAACGCGUGAAGUUGACCGCCUGGGGAGUACGGUCGCAAGAUUAAAACUCAAAGGAAUUGAC